rnacentral:rRNA from 1 species
GAUGAACGCUGGCGGCGUGCCUAAUACAUGCAAGUCGAGCGAACAGACGAGGAGCUUGCUCCUCUGACGUUAGCGGCGGACGGGUGAGUAACACGUGGAUAACCUACCUAUAAGACUGGGAUAACUUCGGGAAACCGGAGCUAAUACCGGAUAAUAUAUUGAACCGCAUGGUUCAAUAGUGAAAGACGGUUUUGCUGUCACUUAUAGAUGGAUCCGCGCCGCAUUAGCUAGUUGGUAAGGUAACGGCUUACCAAGGCAACGAUGCGUAGCCGACCUGAGAGAGUGGUCGGCCGCACGAGAGGUGGGACGGCGACCAGGCUCCUGCGAGAGGCAGCAGUAGCGAAUGGUAGGCAGUAGGCGAAAGCCUGGCGCAACAGGGGGAAGUGAGAGGCAGAGACGUUGCGAGCGUGAUGCUGUGUUAUGGGGGAUAAACAGAUGUGGAAUGUGAUGUAGACGGCUUGACGGUAACUGGUCAGAAAGCAACGGCUAACUACGUG